CUUGCUCCUUUGAGACCGGCGCACGGGUGCGUAACGCGUAUGCAAUCUACCUUUCACAGAGGGAUAGCCCAGAGAAAUUUGGAUUAAUACCUCAUAGUAUAGCAGUUUCGCAUGAAACCACUAUUAAAGUCACAACGGUGAAAGAUGAGCAUGCGUCCCAUUAGCUAGUUGGUAAGGUAACGGCUUACCAAGGCAACGAUGGGUAGGGGUCCUGAGAGGGAGAUCCCCCACACUGGUACUGAGACACGGACCAGACUCCUACGGGAGGCAGCAGUGAGGAAUAUUGGACAAUGGGCGCAAGCCUGAUCCAGCCAUGCCGCGUGCAGGAUGACGGUCCUAUGGAUAGUAAACUGCUUUUGUACAGGAAGAAACACCUCUACGUGUAGAGACUUGACGGUACUGUAAGAAUAAGGAUCGGCUAACUCCGUGCCAGCAGCCGCGGUAAUACGGAGGAUCCAAGCGUUAUCCGGAAUCAUUGGGUUUAAAGGGUCCGUAGGCGGUUUAGUAAGUCAGUGGUGAAAGCCCAUCGCUCAACGGUGGAACGGCCAUUGAUACUGCUAGACUUGAAUUAUUAGGAAGUAACUAGAAUAUGUAGUGUAGCGGUGAAAUGCUUAGAGAUUACAUGGAAUACCAAUUGCGAAGGCAGGUUACUACUAAUUGAUUGACGCUGAUGGACGAAGGCGUGGGUAGCGAACAGGAUUAGAUACCCUGGUAGUCCACGCCGUAACGAUGGAUACUAGCUGUUGGGCGCAAGUUCAGUGGCUAAGCGAAAGUGAUAAGUAUCCCACCUGGGGAGUACGUUCGCAAG
rnacentral:rRNA from 1 species